rnacentral:tRNA from 1 species
AAGACCUUAGCUUAACGGUAAAGCAUGUGCCUUUUAAGCAUUUUUAUGUGGGUUCGAAUCCCAUAGGUCUUA